rnacentral:rRNA from 2 species
UGAGGAAUAUUGGUCAAUGGACGAGAGUCUGAACCAGCCAAGUAGCGUGAAGGAUGACUGCCCUAUGGGUUGUAAACUUCUUUUAUAGGGGAAUAAAAUGCACCACGUGCUGGUGUUUUGUAUGUACCCUACGAAUAAGGAUCGGCUAACUCCGUGCCAGCAGCCGCGGUAAUACGGAGGAUCCGAGCGUUAUCCGGAUUUAUUGGGUUUAAAGGGUGCGCAGGCGGACUGAUAAGUCAGCUGUGAAAGUUUACGGCUCAACCGUGAAAUUGCAGUUGAAACUGUCAGUCUUGAGUACACAUGAGGUGAGCGGAAUUUGUGGUGUAGCGGUGAAAUGCUUAGAUAUCACAAGGAACUCCAAUUGCGAAGGCAGCUCACUGGGGUGUAACUGACGCUCAUGCACGAAGGUGUGGGUAUCAAACAGG